GUUUUUGAGUAUACCUAUAACUCUGACGGGGUGAACUCCAUGAACAUUCACUCCAAGAACCGGAACAGUACCAAAAACACAAUGCGGUUUUCUUUGGAAAAUGUUAGGGACAGAACUAUCCAGUUACUUAGAGCUUGUGUGGUCAUCACGCAGGCAUACGCAACACAGUUUUCAAACAUUAAUUAUGUUUGCUUGCGCCUUUAUUACAAUGAAAAUGUACCAGCGGACUACAAAGCACCAGGUUACGUGAGAACGAAAGAAGACCACCUGAAGCCAACAAUUCAAGACAAACUAAAACUUGGUUGGGUGGAAACGCCAUACCAUAAAAUUGUGACUUACUCCUUCUAUAAGCAACCUACUAGCUAUGAGGCAAAUCCAACAGAGAAUCCACCAGAGCAAGUGCUUACUAAUGAUAUGGAACUAUCAGGUACUGUUGAGAUGUCGCAACCCAAGAGGGAUGGAGGGUUAAACGGACACGCUCGUGUCCGUUAAUAUUGUCCCUGCAACAAGUAUGGGCCAUGUGACGCCUUUACCCAAACUGAAUUGUUAACUUGUCACUACUGCAAGCUCCAACAGCACGCAGCGUGUUUUGGCGUAGUUCGUCACUUGGCAUCUCGAGUGACGGAACACUGUUGUUCGAAAUGUUAUGAUGUCGAUACAACCCGUACUCCUACUGAUACUAAAUUGGUUUCCUUGACUAUGAGGAAACGGGAGAGUCUAUGCAUUUUACGUCGAACAUUGGAGCUGUGUUCGGAAGUCGCACCAUUGGAGCCCGGGACUUGAUGGACAAAUUCGAUAUAUCUGAGUCCAACGCUGCUAAUCUAAUGCAGUUACUUCAUUCCAAUAAAAUUAUCCAACAAAAUUCACAAUCCAAACGUCAAAAAAUAGAAAAGAAUCAGUUAAAAAUAUUGAUGUCCAACUUCUUCCACACUACCGAGGAUAACAUAGUCGAUCUACUAUUAACCGAAUUCGCUUCCCAAGAAAGUGUACCAGAUCCCAUUUCUAGAGCUCUAAAUGUCACGGAAAAGAUUUCAAUCAAGAGAAAAGAGAAACGAGCUCAAAAAAGAAGCAUUGAGAUUGAAGAUAAGGCAAUGAUCGCCAGGACUGGUGUUAAAUUUAAAUUGGCUAGAGUUGUACUAAAAAGAUUGUUGAUAUAAUGAAAAUGUAAAUGAUGUUGAUGAAAGCUGUAAAAGAGUCCAUUGAAAAGUUACAUUUGGGGUUGCGUUUUUUAGAGGACGCAAUUUUAUUUUUUUAAUGUGUAGGGGGGGUCAGUGAGAAGCUAAAACCAAGUUUGUGGGGUCGCCACCCUUGUCC